rnacentral:rRNA from 1 species
UACGAAGGGGGCUAGCGUUGCUCGGAAUGACUGGGCGUAAAGGGCGCGUAGGCGGAUUGUACAGUCAGGCGUGAAAUUCCCGGGCUCAACCUGGGGGCUGCGCUUGAGACGUGCGAUCUUGAGUGGGGAAGAGGGUCGUGGAAUUCCCAGUGUAGAGGUGAAAUUCGUAGAUAUUGGGAAGAACACCGGUGGCGAAGGCGGCGACCUGGUCCUUGACUGACGCUGAGGCGCGAAAGCGUGGAGAGCAAACAGG